GUUCUUGAGCAUGAAAAAGACCAGACUGCAUGUCCCAUCCACAUCGCCUUCAAUCUCAACCCAACUCCGGCGGCAAGCUCAAGUUUCAGACCGUGGAGCUGCAGCAGGAGGGACAGGACGAUGGUUAAUACAGACCUGCUGACCUCCGUCUUCGUCUCCAUUUCUUCCCGAGCUCUGAUUCUCAAGGUCGGCUGGCGCGCUCAUUCCCACUGGAUUUGAUUGUUGGGUGGAUAAUGAUAUUCUUAUACGGAAGGUUGCAAAGGCUGGAACCCAUGAAGGAGAAUGUUUGAUAAAUUAGAACGUGAGCUCGGUGAGAGAAGGGAUUUGCUUUUCUUCACUGCUGUAUCCUGGGUGCAAAGAACAAAGCUUGGCUUGAAAUGAAUGCUCAGUAAAUAUUUGUUGUAUUAACUGGGAGAAGUAUUUUGCUUAUCUAGAACUAAACAAUUCUCAAAUACUUUCAAAAGCAUUUACCAAUGACUGCCACUUAUACUUAUUUUGAGGCUAGCAUAUCAUUUCUUCAUUAAAAGGUGUUGGCACAUUCA